rnacentral:misc_RNA from 1 species
GAAAUGCGAUAAGUAGUGUGAAUUGCAGAAUUCCGUGAAUCAUCGAAUCUUUGAACGCACAUUGCGCCCCCUGGUAUUCCGGGGGGCAUGCCUGUUCGAGCGUCAUUAAAUACCACUCAAGCUCUUUUGCUUGGUCAUGGAAGAAGAGUGUGCUUGCAUUCUCCCUUCUGAAAUCAAAUGGCGGACUGCCUCAUGUGCCUGGCGUAGUAAGUUUAUCUUUUCGCCUGGAGUCUGAGAUAGUCUUGCCAUCAACCCCCAUAUUUCUAAGGUUGACCUCGGAUCAGGUAGGGAUACCCGCUGAACUUAA